AUCUUUCUCCACCAAUCGCUAAUCAAAUACAAUAUCCCUAUUGACAAUGAAAUUCAUGGCGUUAGUAUGACUUUACAUUAAAACUUUUACCCUAAAAAAAAAGAAAAACGCUUACCAAACACACUGAGAUAGCACGAUCAACCUUGAGAAGAAGAUGGAGAGAGUAUUAGAUGAUGAAAUUGAGAGAAAAUGGAAAGGCCGGAUUGAGGAAAACCGAAGGGAAUGAAUGCAGAGGCUAAAUUUGUAGUUUUACUACA
rnacentral:lncRNA from 1 species